rnacentral:rRNA from 1 species
CCUACGGGAGGCAGCAGUGAGGAAUAUUGGUCAAUGGCCGGAAGGCUGAACCAGCCAAGCCGCGUGAAGGACGAAGGUGCCAAGCAUUGUAAACUUCUUUUGUCAAGGGACAAAAUCAGGCUCGAGAGCCUGACCGAGGGUACUUGAAGAAAAAGCAUCGGCUAACUACGUGCCAGCAGCCGCGGUAAUACGGAGGGGGCAAGCGUUAUCCGGAUUUACUGGGUGUAAAGGGGGCGCAGACGGCGAUGCAAGCCAGGUGUGAAAGCCCGGGGCCCAACCCCGGGACUGCACUUGGUACUGGGUGGCUGGAGUGCAGGAGAGGCAGGCGGAAUUCGUGGUGUAGCGGUGAAAUGCGUAGAUAUCAGGAGGAACACCGAUGGCGAAGGCAGCCUGCUGAACUGCAACUGACGUUGAGGCCCGAAAGCGUGGGGAGCAAACAGGAUUAGAUACCCUUGUAGUC